rnacentral:tRNA from 1 species
CAGUAUAUAUUUUAAAAAAAAUAUUAAUUUUGGAGAUUAAUGAUAAUAUAAAUUUAUUUAUACUGA